GUAUAAACGUUGAUGAGGAAAAGUAGAGAUUGUUUUGGCUUAGUAGAGAGAACUACCUCCGGCUGAAAGUAGUUUAAGCGGACCAUCUUGAAAAUGCACCUCUGAGUCUUUUAUUGAACGAUCACUCCAGUAGAUAAAAGCGGGACUCUGCCGUUAUAAGGGGGAAGUUGGGGUAAUAGCACUUGUUCUUUUACCCAAACAGAGUGGAACCGCGCGUAAGCGUCUCUGUG
rfam:Bacillus azotoformans LMG 9581 contig153, whole genome shotgun sequence.